rnacentral:rRNA from 1 species
CGGGUGCGUAACACGUGAGCGACCUUCCGUCUUCUGGGGGAUAGCCGGCCCAACGGCCGGGUAAUACCGCAUACGCUCUGUUGGGGGCAUCCCUGACAGAGGAAACUUCCGGGGGAGGACGAGGGGCUCGCGGCCUAUCAGCUAGUUGGUGCGGUCACGGCGCACCAAGGCGACGACGGGUAGCUGGUCUGAGAGGAUGGCCAGCCACAUUGGGACUGAGAGACGGCCCAG